GACGAACGCUGGCGGCGUGGAUUAGGCAUGCAAGUCGAACGGUAUCAUCCUUUCGGGGGUGAGAGAGUGGCGAACUGGUGAGUAACACGUAGGUUAUCUACCCUCAAGACGGGGACAACCCAGGGAAACUUGGGCUAAUACCGGAUGUGAGCAACUUUUAGUUGUUUGAAAGGUGGCGUAAGCUGUCGCUUGGGGAUGAGCCUGCGUCCUAUUAGUUAGUUGGUGAGGUAACGGCUCACCUAGGCAAUGAUAGGUAGGCGGCCUUAACGGGUGGUCGCCCACACUGGGAUUGAGAUGCGGCCCAGACUCCUACGGGAGGCAGCAGUCGAGAAUAGUCUACAAUGGUCGGAAGACUGAUAGUGCGACGCCGCGUGAACGAUGAAUCCCUUCGGGGUGUAAAGUUCUUUUAUAUGUGAGCAGUGCUUCUUAUAUUAACAGUAUGGGGAGAGAGAUAUUAGCAUAUGAAUAAGCAACGGCUAACUCCGUG
rnacentral:rRNA from 1 species